rnacentral:rRNA from 1 species
UACGAAGGGGGCUAGCGUUGCUCGGAAUCACUGGGCGUAAAGGGUGCGUAGGCGGGUCUUUAAGUCAGGGGUGAAAUCCUGGAGCUCAACUCCAGAACUGCCUUUGAUACUGAGGAUCUUGAGUUCGGGAGAGGUGAGUGGAACUGCGAGUGUAGAGGUGAAAUUCGUAGAUAUUCGCAAGAAUACCAGUGGCGAAGGCGGCUCACUGGCCUGAUACUGACGCUGAGGCACGAAAGCGUGGGGAGCAAACAGG